rnacentral:lncRNA from 1 species
CCCACCCUAAUUUUCUGUUUUUGUUCCGUCACAGCUAGCGGGGAGAGUGUCCUUGCCAACAGGGUUGGGGAGCAGAUGGAAUGUCAGGAGAUGGACAUGGUGGGUCUCAACCUCCCCUGCUCUGUAAGGUAAACUUUUAAAUUACUGAAUAGGACGUGCCCACCGAGCAAAAAGCCGGCUGGUGGUAGAGCAUUUAAGAUGAUGGGAAUUUUUGGUUUGGACGAGGGGGGAGGCAAGACACCAGUGGGUAAAGUUUUGGUGCAUAGGCACCUGGUUACGUUCGUUGGCAAGGACGGUUAUUUAAGUUGGAGGCUGUAGGGCAAUAAGUGUAAUUUAUAUGUUAAUUUAUAUGUUAAUUAUGGUAUGUAUAUAUAUUUAUCUGUUUAUUUAGAUUUGAAUUAAAGAAAAAGAAUAAAGUUCGGAUGAGUCCUACAGUUGUAAGUUUAAUAAAUGCUGUGGCCUGUUUCAUCCAAUAUUCAUUGUUUGUCAGUAUUGGGGGGAGAAUUGGGGUAGUCUCCUUACUCUUAGUUGCACCACGUUCCCCGCUACGUACAUACAAGAAGUAGAAAGAGGGAAGUGCUCAUGCCAUUAUACAGAACACUGGGAGACCUCACUUGGAGUAUUGUACACAAUACUGGAGACCGUACUGGAGACCGGAUAUUGAUACCUUAGAGAGGGUUCAGAGAAGGGCUACUAAACUGGUCCAUGGAUUGCGGGAUAAAACUUACCAGAAAAGGUUAAAGGAUCUUAACAUGUAUAGCUUGGAGGAAAGACGAGACGGGGGAUAUGAUAGAAACAUUUAAAUACAUAAAGGGAAUCAACACACUAAAGGAGGAUACUAUAUUUAAAAGAAGAAAAACUACCACAAGAAGAGGACAGUGUCUUAAAUUAGAGGGACAAAGGUUUAAAAAUAAUAUCAGGAAGUAUUACUUUACUGAGAGGGUAGUGGAUGCAUGGAAUAGCCUUCCAGCUGAAGUGGUAGAGGUUAACACAGUAAAGGAGUUUAAGCAUGCGUGGGAUAGGUAUAAGGCUAUCCUAACUAUAAGAUAAGGCUAGGGACUAAUGAAAGUAUUUAGAAAAUUGGGCAGACUAGAUGGGCCAAAUGGUUCUUAUCUGCCGUCACAUUCUGUGUUUCUAUGUUUCUAUACCACUAGGAUUCUAUUCCAUAGUGAAACAUACUCUAAAUGGGAUCAUAAUACUUUUUCCCUUGCACUCACUAACUUUAUCAGUACCUCGGCGUCUGCAUUUUAGCACCUAUCAUAUUCACACAGAAACACAAAAAAGGAUCAUAUAAGGUAUUGAUCCUGCAAAAAAAGCAUCAUAUCCACAGCAUUUGCCAACUACACAGCACUCACAUCACAAUGUCUGACAACCACACAGCCCUCAUCUUCCAUAGAUACCUUCAUGCAAUGGCACUAACAGACUUUCAAACACAGGAAAUGUCCAGACAUGGACAGGACCUGCGCGGUACACCACAAUGCAUUGCUGAGUCAUGGAGCGAAAGCAAAGCACACGCAUUGUCCCUUCUAACAUUUCUGCCACUUAGACCCAGUUGUGUCUACACAGGAGCACACAAUGCCUGUUUGGCCUCUAAACAUCGUUCCACUUUCCCUUUAUAUAUCACCACUGAUCCCAUGUUUAAUAUCCUGGUAGCCAGCUUCAUACUGGCCUCAAAUGGCCAACUAGCAAAUUCUAAUUAAUGUUCAAAUGAAUAUGUGGUGAAUAUCUGGACACUGUCGUCAUUGUCCAAAUGUUAAGCAUUUGUACACUGACAUGGUUUUUGAAAGUGUAAUGCAAUCAUUACAAUUUUCCAUACAAGAGUUAGACCAGAUAUCCAUCAAAAUAAAUUGCAGAACAAUCAGAGACAAGGAAGCAUGACUAUAUUUCAUAAGUAAUUUGUGUAUUGUAUAUAAAUCAAUUUCACUGCAAAGAAUAUCUUACGAUAUUGAUUCAGCAUAUACUGGACCUAACUUAUGUAAAAAUAAAUAAAGUGCUAAAGAGAUUUGCUACAGGCAGGAUUUGCAUCUUGAGGUCAGCAAUCAACCAACCUCCUCCGCCACCCCCCGCACCCACCAUCGUCCCCUCGAGAUCUCUUUUGCUUGCUACAUGAUUUAGAGGGUACAAGAUAGUGUGAUGUAAUACAUCUCUCACUAUCUGUCUACAGAAAUAAAACAUUUUUCCAUUUAUAACAUGAUUUGUUUAAUACAUUUUAUGUUUACGUUACAUUCAAAAUAAACUUCGUAGUACAGGAUGCUUAAUUCCUAAAGUUUACAACUGAACCUUUUUGCUAAAACGUAGUGUUAUUGAAAGACUAUUUUAUUCAUUUUUACAGCAACCACCCCUUAAAAAAUAGUUUUCUCAAAUUGGAGGCGCUGGUAACUGAUGUAGAGCAUUGGCAGCCCACAGGGUAAGGGAUUUAACAUUAAUCUGUAGACCUCUUAAACAGCAUAACGAGACAAGAAGGUUAGCUGAAGAACUGCUAAAACACAGCAUCCGUGUGCAGUAGCACCUAAUGUUGGCGUGCGAUGUACAGUGGAGUGUGUCAAGUACUCGUUUGCUUUUUAUCCUGAGGAUAAGGAGAGAAUGUUCACAUUCAUCUUGUCGCAGUUUUAGAAUCUAUAUUAGGGUUCUUCAUAGGCUCUUGACAUUCUGAUUCUGAAUUGCAUGCGCACAGAUGUGUCUGCAUUUACAUCUUUGCUUCUUUGGUAGGAUAUAAAUCAAUUGCUAUAUUAAACAUUAAACAAAUGUACUUCCAGACAAGUAUAAUUGGGGCUGUGGAGAAUUGGAAUAUUUUACAAUGCUGAUACUUGCAAAAACAUCAAAGCCACCAAUAAACUCUAAAAUGUAUAUUUGGAGUUAAAUUAGUAAUGCUUUGGGAUAUAUUUUUGUAUUAUAAAAAAUAUCGUACCCUCAACACUUCAUUACUUUUUUUUUUAAUUCACAUUUUAUUGAAGUUUAUGAGGUACAAAAGCAUAACAAUGUACACACUGUAACGUUGAAACAAUGGUUCACGAAUCACUUAUUGAUUUAAAUAACAAAUAAGGACAAAAAGGACAAAAGGGCAAAAGGAACUAUUGUGUAAGGAAUACAGAUUUGUAUUCCUUACACUAUAGUAUCCCUUUAAAUUAAAUGAAAUCAACUAAAACCAUCUUUUUAUAAUAUUUUAUAAAUAAUAAUUCAUGUGAGAUACAUGACACCUGCCUUCCUAGGAAAGUGCUAGAGUCUAAAAGAUUAUAUAGCAAUAUAAUUCUGUCCCUGGAUCUCCAUAAAAUUGCUUCUGUACAUAGUUACAUAGCUGAAAAGAGACUUCAAGAAAAAAGAGACCAUCAAGUUCCGCCUUCCUCACAUUUGUUUUUAGCUCUUGAUCCAAAAGAAGGCAAAAAAAAAAAAAAAACAGUUUGAAGCACUUCGAAUUUUGCAGCAAACUACUAGAGGCUUAGGCUGAAGGUAUGUCUCCAAGAUCGUAGGCCUUGUGACCAAACUGAGACUUGACAUGGGCCACAAGAAAAAAAAAAAAAUAUUGUUGUUUAGCUCAUGACAGGGAGUGUCAAUUUCUGACUAUAACAACUGUAAAUGAGGGCGGUGCUGUAAAGUAAGAAUCAGACUGUGUGUUAUCUGUCAGAGACCAUGACUUCUAAUAAAGAUAAGACAAGAAAGAAAAAGGAGAAAAAAGGAGGGGAGUUAAGUGAGUAAGGGGAGGGAGUCCCUUGUAUUGUCAUAAACAAAGGGUAACAUUAAACUGGUUAGAAUGGAGGCGAGGAGAGACCAAUAUCUUGCAAAAAUGGUUUCAUAGAGUUGGUUCUUUCAGUGUUGUAAAGGUACCGCAUUUUGUUACUCCUCUUGCCCAUGGUAUCCACAAGCUAUCUGCAGCUAUCUCUACCAACGAGUGGACCAUCUAAGUCGGUUUCACAAAUGGCUCCCAGCUCCAUUCCAGAAUUUUUCCAGUUAAGCCAUUUUAACACGAUAGUGUUAGGAAUACAAACAUGUAUUGCUGGAGUGGCUGUUAGGUUCCUGGUCCCCCUCAGAUUGCAGUGAAAAGGUAUUUUACUUACUUUUGAAAAUUUGAAAUUUCACACUUCAGUAAAUAAUCUUUUGAGGGAUGAUUUGCUCAACACUUGCUAAGUGAUCGUUGUAGGGCUUUACCGUUCCUGGAGUUGCAGAGUGAGAGGGAGAUCUCCUUGUGAUGCCGCAAUCACACAGUACAGAGUGCUAAUAGAGUCCUCUGUACUUUGAGAGCUUUGAAAUCGCUAUGCUGAUGUCAGUACGGAUGUCAGCAGAGGGAAUCACUCUGAAGUGGGAUUAGGGGAUGUUUUAAGGGCAUUAGGUGAAAAGGUAUACAUAUGGUGUAUCAUUAUAAUCAAGAACAGAAGCAGAGUAAACAUAUGGGGUGUUUGUAGUAGUGUUACACGUGGUCUGUGAGAUUCGCCAAAAUAAAACACAUGUGAAAAAAAUCACAAGGGAUUACAUUUUUUUGACCCAGGUUUGUGAUAAAAUGGUUAAAUAAAAAGUGUCAAAAUGCUCUUAGUUACAUAGUCUGGGGAUGCACUUUCUACAAAUACAUAGCGGUUUUGGAUCCCGUAACCUCUGUUGUAAUGUCAGCAUGUCAAAUUUUACAAAGCUUUAGCUGUAAAUCCGUAAUUCACUCCUUGCAGUAUUUAUUUUAUAACUUAUAAAAAUGUAUUGAGAUUCUAGACAUUUUGGGCAUCCAGUGUCAAUUAGGUUACCGAAAGUCGCCCAACCACCCAGAAGUCCCUCUAGUGGCUGUCUGGUAGACAGCUACUAGAGGUGGAGUCAACCCUUCAAGGCAAAUUAUUGAAGUUUAUUUAAAAAAAUUGCAAUAAUUACUAUUGCAGGUUUAAGGGACCUGGUACCCAGAACAUUUCAAUGAGCUGAAGUGGUCUGAGUGCCUAUAGUGUCCCUUUAAGGGGUUAAAUUGUUCAAGCUAAAUGUGAUGAUAUUGUUAAUUCUUCUAUUACUUAGAAAAGAAUAGAAUAACAUUUGCUUAUGAAAUUUAUGUUCUGUUAUUUAAUAGUAUUUUAUUUGGAAUCACAAUGUCACUAUUAAUUCAUGAUUUAUAAUAAAAAGAUUUAUAUCAUGUAGUUUUAGAGGCAUUUUUAUCUCUUUAUGUAUAUUUUUCUGAAAGGAACCAAAUCGUUUCUACAAAACACACAUUUCGUAAAAUGCUUUUCUAAUUAUUUUUAUUUUUCUUACUUUGCUAAAGUAACAGAACACCAUCUGUUUCAAGAGACCAAAGCACUGAAUCUGACUGCUGCAUUAGUCAGCUAAUGGAGGUUAGAAUCUGCAAGAAACGGUCUGUGACAAAUUAAAGCCCUGCUAAGAACCUAUUUUGAGAAACCAAUGGUGAUCUGGUUAACGGUCCUCACGUGUGAAGAGAGCUGUAAUGCUGUUCUCGGCACGGGAAGCAUAUAAGGAAAUUAUCACUGAAGAGAUAAACUAGCAAAACAACAUUACAGGACAGUCCUUUUAUCCAGGUUAUUGAUACCUGAAAAUACUUGACAAGUCUGUUCCAUCUCAUUCUUACUAUGUAAAAUAAUAAAACGUAC